CAGAAUGCUGCUCUCCCAGAAGCUCCCUCUGUUAACUCCUGGCUAUUCCCUCUCUUUCAAAAUGUAAACAAAACUCUGCUGCUCAGCUACUGAUGCUAAAACGCGAGAAUGGAAAUGGAAUUAGUCAAGCCUAUGGAUGUUGUGAGUGCCUGCAUAGUUGAAAUCUGGCAGCUGAAACAUCACUAAUGGAUUUGAUCAUCUCCAAAAGCCACGGGAAAGCAGUCUUAAGUCUCCUUCAAAAAUUCUCCAAUGAUUUGAGAAGUAGAAAAGAAUCAGAAAUGUGUGUGUUUCCCACAAGAGGGAGGCCCCUAAAGAGAACAUCAAACAUAAGAAAAAGGGACAUAUUCUCUCAGUCUCCUUUAACAGACACUGUUCCUCAAAGAGUCACUGAAACAAGAUGACAUAUCCGUCAUGGGCCCAGAGGGGCAGAUGUGAGAAUUGUGGAAGCCUAUUAAACAUCCAAUUUCAUGGUAUCCAUGCUACAAAAAUGAAUUUUUUUUCUCUUUCCACUGAAUGAACCUACUCAGAAAUUCUGCCGAUUCACUGGGACUAUGAAAUAUAGACUCUUCUUCAGAGGCAUUUCACCUAGUAAUCCAUUUCCAUUUAUAUAUAAAGG
rnacentral:lncRNA from 1 species